CUCAUUCAAUCCCAAACAUGCCAUUAACUCACAGAACAUUGACAUUAUAACAGAACAUUUACUGCAGGGUCGCUACAAUACAUAGUCUAUAACAUUAUCAAAUCAUAGCUUUUAAAAAAAAAAGUCACAUCUGACUGGCCCGGCCUGGGCCCAUCAGAGGGAGGGGGGCUCCCGGCCCGACCCGGCUUGGGCCCGCGGGCCAGGUCGGGCCGGGCUCGGGCUCAGGCAGAGAAUCUAAGCUCUUGAAGAGACAGUGGCAAAUAAUAUUGAAACCUCAGAGCUCUGGCUCGGAGUCAAAAGAAGACUUAAAAUAUGUCCAACAGGAAGACAUGGCUGAUCUGUUACGUGUUAUCCAGCGCCGAAAACUCCUGGAUGCAUUCAAAUUAGAAACUGAGACAGUUACAUUGGAUUUUCAAGGCAUUCCAACUUCGUCACCACUGAGUAGUGAUUUGUCGGUGUCUGAGUCUUCAUUACCAUCAUUAUGCACUCCGCCUCAUUCUAGCUCAUCACAGCUAUCGGCCGUUGCAUCAUGUUCAAGCCAGACGAGAAACAGUGAGCCAAACAUGGCCAGAAACAUUCCAGGUCCCUUGGGAACAAAUGCCACAGGAAAUACGUUCUGCAAUUGCAGAUGGCAAGAGACCUAAACCAGUGGAGCAACGCCAGAUGGUAUGAGUGCUCGUGGAUGAAGUGAGAAGGUAUGAAGCUAACCCCACUUGCACAUAGUGCCUAACUGUGGUUCGAAAUAUCAUCAGGCAGUACCCAAAGAGUUUUGCUGAUAUGACACCAGAUGGGUCACUUCUGGGUGGAGGUUAUACAUCACUUUUGAUUCAAGAAGUGAAAAACCGCAUUGAGAAUGUGAACUGUGACGUAAGCUUCUUACGCCACUGACCCUCUACACAAAAAAAAAGGGGUCCAACUGACACAUAUGGAUGCACAAGAUUUCAGCCAGAGCUCCCCCAGAAGAAACUGAUGAGACUUUGGAGGAGCACCACCAGAGACUAGAAGAGAUUUACAGACAGGAGGGUGCAGGUGGAGCAGAAAGAGCCGAAGUUAAAAAUCUAAUGGCACACUUUGGAGAGGACCAAACUGGGCUGAUCCUUCUUGCAGAUGCGCUUCAUUGGUAUAAAUCCAGAGAGAGAGACAAAGGCCAAAAGGGGCAAGGUUGUCUCCAAGAAGAAAGGUGUGAUCGUCCAGAAGAAGUCUUCUGCAGUCAAUACACACGUCUCCAUGCUACUGAAGAAACUCCUUGACUUUGAAUGGAACUUCAAAUAGAUCAUGGCAAUACUGGAAUAAUGCUGAGAGGAACAGCGGCAAAGUGAUGGUCAGUCAUGGUAAAUUACAAGUCUAGCUCGCAGUGGCGCUGGUGCCUACCUUACAGUUUCUUCCCUAAAUGUUGUUAUUGAUGCAUAUUAUUGAUGCAUAUUGUCAAAAUGUUCUAACUGUACUGUAAUAGUUUCAGAAUGGCCUUAAUGCACAUUUUCAAAAUGUUCUUAAGUUUGUUUUCCAAAUGUUGCCAAUUCUGCACAUGUUCAAAAUGUUAUUAUGAAAGUAUAUUUUCACAGACAGCAGAUAAUACAUUGCACUUUACGUAACGUAAAUCCUUUAAGUUGACUUUUGAGGAAAUUUUAAUCGAACACACAGGACUCUUUUAAGAAGUGGGCUUUUUUUUUUUUAUUUUACAAAAUGUGCCAAUGAUGCUUGUUUGCUGAAUGUUCUUACUCAUGUAAUCAAAAAGGUCUUAAUGUGCCUUCUUUGAAAAUAGUCUAAAUAGUGUAGUUUUCUGAAUAUUGCUAAUGAUGUGUUUCAGAAUUCUUUUACUGAUGUAUAUUUUUGCCGGCAGCAGAUUGUUUAUUGCAGUAAAUUUUGAGAUUGUAUUUUAAAUGGCUUUUUGCAAGAACAUAAGCAUACCUCAAAGGAUAGGUUAAACUCUUAUGUCCUCUGUAUUUGUUGCCUUGGUCUUUUUCCUAGAUUCGUUGUGUUAUUCAGGUAAAGCUUGAGUUUGGUAAGAUAAAUCACUUAUGACAAGAAUUUGUCUUAAAUAGACAAUAUUGAAUAAUAUUGACAUUGGCCCAAAAAGUCAGCUAUAGGUUAUGCCCUUCAUGUUUGACAAUGGUUAGGGGCAGUCUCUGACGAGCAAUUUAAGAAUUUAAGUUUAUUGCCAUAGUCUAAAGCAGACACUACUAGGCUGUUUCUGUUUGCUACUCAAAAUCUCUUCUCAGGGUUUAAUUUCUUUUUUUCCCAUUUUAUGAAAGUAGCAGUAUUCAU